rnacentral:rRNA from 1 species
AGAGUUUGAUCCUGGCUCAGGACGAACGCUGGCGGCGCGCCUAACACAUGCAAGUCGAACGAGAGAUGAGGAGCUUGCUCUUCAGAUCGAGUGGCGAACGGGUGAGUAACGCGUGAGGAACCUGCCUCAAAGAGGGGGACAACAGUUGGAAACGACUGCUAAUACCGCAUAAGCCCACGGCUCGGCAUCGAGCAGAGGGAAAAGGAGUGAUCCGCUUUGAGAUGGCCUCGCGUCCGAUUAGCUAGUUGGUGAGGUAACGGCCCACCAAGGCGACGAUCGGUAGCCGGACUGAGAGGUUGAACGGCCACAUUGGGACUGAGACACGGCCCAGACUCCUACGGGAGGCAGCAGUGGGGAAUAUUGCACAAUGGGGGAAACCCUGAUGCAGCGACGCCGCGUGGAGGAAGAAGGUCUUCGGAUUGUAAACUCCUGUUGUUGAGGAAGAUAAUGACGGUACUCAACAAGGAAGUGACGGCUAACUACGUGCCAGCAGCCGCGGUAAAACGUAGGUCACAAGCGUUGUCCGGAAUUACUGGGUGUAAAGGGAGCGCAGGCGGGAGAACAAGUUGGAAGUGAAAUCCAUGGGCUCAACCCAUGAACUGCUUUCAAAACUGUUUUUCUUGAGUAGUGCAGAGGUAGGCGGAAUUCCCGGUGUAGCGGUGGAAUGCGUAGAUAUCGGGAGGAACACCAGUGGCGAAGGCGGCCUACUGGGCACCAACUGACGCUGAGGCUCGAAAGUGUGGGUAGCAAACAGGAUUAGAUACCCUGGUAGUCCACACCGUAAACGAUGAUUACUAGGUGUUGGAGGAUUGACCCCUUCAGUGCCGCAGUUAACACAAUAAGUAAUCCACCUGGGGAGUACGACCGCAAGGUUGAAACUCAAAGGAAUUGACGGGGGCCCGCACAAGCAGUGGAGUAUGUGGUUUAAUUCGACGCAACGCGAAGAACCUUACCAAGUCUUGACAU